CGGGGGGGCGAGCGUUGUUCGGAAUUACUGGGCGUAAAGGGCGCGUAGGCGGUCCGCUAAGUCGGAUGUGAAAACUCUGGGCUCAACCCAGAGACUGCAUCCGAAACUGACGGGCUAGAGUUCUGGAGGGGGUAGCGGAAUUCCUGGUGUAGCGGUGAAAUGCGUAGAUAUCAGGAGGAACACCGGUGGCGAAGGCGGCUACCUGGACAGAAACUGACGCUGAGGCGCGAAAGCUAGGGGAGCAAACAGGAUUAGAUACCCUGGUAGUCCUAGCCCUAAACGAUGGAUACUUGGUGUGACUGGGAUUGAAUCCAGUCGUGCCGAAGCUAACGCAUUAAGUAUCCCGCCUGGGGAGUACGGUCGCAAGGCUG
rnacentral:rRNA from 1 species